rnacentral:rRNA from 1 species
AUGAACGCUGGCGGCGUGCCUAAGACAUGCAAGUCGAGUGGGUUUAGGCCCACGGCGAACGGGCGAGUAAUACCUAGGAACGUAUCUUAGUUGAAGCAUAACCCGCCGAAAGGCGGGAUAAAUUCUCAAUGUGGAAGCAAUUCUAAAGUCUCGCAAGACGCUAAAGAAGCGGCCUGGGCACACAUCAGCUAGUUGGUAAGGUAAUGGCUUACCAAGGCUAUGACGGUUAGGGGCCCCGAGAGGGGAGACCCCCACACUGGAACUGGCGACACACGGUCCAGACUCCUACGGGAGGCAAGCAGUUUGGAAUUUUUGGACAAUGGGCGAAAGCCUGAUCCAGCGACCGCCGGCGUGGACGAUGAAGGCCUUCGGGGUUGUAAAGUAUCCUUUUGCUUGGGAAGAAUUUUUGACGGUACCCAAGCGAAUAAGAGGUUUGGCUAACUCUGUGCCAGCAAGCAGCGGUAAUACAGAGACCUCAAGCGUUAUCCGGAAUCAAUUGGGCGUAAAGCGUAACCGACGAUAGGUGGUUAAGAAAGUCAGAUGUUGAAAUCCCCGAGCUCAACAUCGGAAUCUGUCAUUUGAAAACUUCUUGACUAGAGGGGCAAAGAGGAAGCUGGAAACGAACGGUGUGUAGUAGUAAAAUGCGUUGAUAUCGUUCGGAACACCGAUAGCGAAGGCAGGCUUCUGGGGUGCCACCUGACACUUGCCUAGGACGAAAGCGUGGGUAGCGAAUGGGAUUAGAUACCCCAGUAGGUCCACGCUGUAAAACGAUGUAACGUUAGGUGCUAGAGAGUAUCGACCCAUCUUUAGUACCACAGCUAACGCGUUAAACGUACCAGCCUGGGGAGUACGGCCGCAAGGCCUAAAACUCAAAGGAAAUUGACGGGGACCUGCACAAGCGGUGGGAGCAUGUGGUUUAAUUCGACACUAAAGCGAGGAAACCUUACCAAGGCUUGACAUGCAAGCUGCACGCUCCAGAAAUGGAGUUUCCUUCGAGGGUGCUGCACAGGUGCUGCACGGUUGUCGUCAGCUCGUGCCGUGAGGUGUUCACUUAAGUGUGAAAACGAGCGCAACCCCUAUCGCAAAGUUACAAGUGGUCUUGUGAAACUGCCGGCGUCUAAGCCGGAGGAAGGCGGGGAUGACGUCAAAUCAAGCGUGGCUCUUACGCCUUGGGCGACCACACGUGCUACAAUGGGAAAGAAACAAAGGGACGCCAAGCCCGUAAGGCGGAGCAAAAUCCUAUUCAAAAUUUCCCCCAGUUCGGAUCGAGGGCUUGCAAACUCGCCCUCGUGAAGCCGGAAUCGCUAGUAACCGUAUAUCAGCCUCGAUACGGUGAAUACGUUCUCAGGUUUUGUACACACCGCCCGUCAAGCCAUGGGAAUGCGGGAAGCGGAUGAAAGCGCGUUUUAACGUUCCAAUCCGAAGCUCGUAACUGGGGCU